GUGUUUGCUUCAGCAGCACAUGAACUUAGAUUGUAACAAUACAGAGAAGAUUAGCAUUG
rnacentral:snRNA from 1 species